rnacentral:miRNA from 1 species
UAUGGCUUUUUAUUCCUAC